rnacentral:rRNA from 1 species
UACGUAGGUGGCGAGCGUUGUCCGGAAUUACUGGGUGUAAAGGGCGUGUAGGCGGGACUGUAAGUCAGAUGUGAAAUUCCCCGGCUCAACUGGGGGGCUGCAUCUGAAACUAUGGUUCUUGAGUGCUGGAGGGGGAAGGGGAAUUCCAAGUGUAGCGGUGAAAUGCGUAGAUAUUUGGAGGAACACCUGUGGCGAAGGCGGCUUUCUGGACAGUAACUGACGCUGAGGUGCGAAAGCGUGGGGAGCAAACAGG